CGAGCACGCGCGUGUGGCAUAUCAAUAAGCGGAGGAAAAGAAACUAACAAGGAUUCCCUUAGUAACGGCGAGUGAAGCGGGAAGAGCUCAAAUUUGAAAUCUUCAAGGUACUACCUUGACGAAUUGUAGUUUAUAGAAGUGUUUUCUGUUAGUGGAGUGGCAAAAGUUCUUUGGAAUAGGACAUCAUAGAGGGUGAGAAUCCCGUAUUUGGUCAUUCCUCCUAGCGUUGUGAUACACUUUCAACGAGUCGGAUUGUUUGGGAAUGCAGUCCAAAAUGGGUGGUAAAUUUCAUCUAAAGCUAAGUAUUGGCGAGAGACCGAUAGCGAACAAGUACCGUGAGGGAAAGAUGAAAAGAACUUUGAAAAGAGAGUCAAACAGUACGUGAAAUUGUCAAAAGGGAGGCGUUUGACACCAGUGUUGUUUACCGAAAAUCAAUUACGAAUGUUUUGUUUUUGAGGAGUUAUGACUUCAUCGGCUUGCUUCUUUCUUUAUGAAACUUUCUUAAUGCACUUUUCGGUUAACAAGUCAACAUCAAUUUCUUUUGUUGUAAAAGGGUAUGAGGAAGGUGGCUUUCUUUUCGGAGAAAGUGUUUAUAGCCUUGUGCCUCUAGCAAUCGGAGAGAUUGAGGUCUGCAGCGUAGAUCCUUCGGGGUUAGAUACGUUUGUGCUAAGUUAUAGCUUUUCAUAGACAACUUGUUGACUAUGUUUAGUCUUGUAGCUUACUCGCUGACGCUAUUUUACCUACGCUUAGGAUGUUGAGUCAUCACACAUCUCU
rnacentral:rRNA from 1 species